rnacentral:lncRNA from 1 species
CUACAGGCUUUCAAUAUAAAUACACAGACUUUGAAGGCUGAGAGAAAUGGCUCAUUUUUCAAGCACCAGAUAGGAAAAAUCCAUACUUGGGAUAUAAUUUUCUUUCUACUUCUUAUAUGCUAACACUAAUGCAGAUUGUGUCCCAGCUGUGCUGAAAAGCAGAUUGAGGGUUAUAAUACAGUGAUGUUAGGGUAAUAUCAGGUAACUUCCAAAGUCAUCUUCAAAGGAAUCCCUGGGCAGGUCCAUGCACAUUGCAGAUAAUGCUUGUCCUUGCUGCUCCUGCAGUCACACUAUAACUGCUCCUUUUAGUAAUACUGAGUAGCUCUCUAA